rnacentral:rRNA from 1 species
AUGCGUCUCGUCAGCCUCACCCGCGCGGCCACUCACGUCCGCGCGGCGUCGACGACGGCAACCAUAGCGGCGGCGCUGAAGGUGGGCGACGCGCUGCGCCCGCGCCGGCGGCGGUUCACGGAGGACGACGUGGCGGCGUACGCGGGGGUGAGCGGCGACCGCAACCCCGUCCACCUUGAUGAUGCCUUCGCGCGCGGGACGGGCGGGUUCCAGCGUGGCCGCGUGGUGCACGGCAUGCUCGUCGCCUCCCUCUUCCCCGCCCUCAUCGCCUCCCACUUCCCUGGAGCCGUGUACGCGAGCCAGUCCCUCAAGUUCGCGGCGCCGGUGCACGUCGGAGACGAGGUGGUCGCGCAGGUGCAGGCGCUCCACAUCAAGGCCACCGGCGGAAGGCACAUCGUCAAGUUCGCCACCAAGUGCUUCAUGGACGAUGAGGAGACUCUCGCCAUCGACGGCGAGGCCAUGGCUUUUCUGCCCACGCUGCAGCUCAGCGCCGAGGCAAUCGAGUGA